AACAGACAUGUAGUUGUAACCAGACAAGUUGGACACACAGGAACAGAGGGGUUGAGGGCCCUGCUCAAUGAGCUUACAUGCUAGAGGGAGUGGGGUAUAGUGACACAGUAACAGAGGGAUUGAGGGCCUGCUCAGUGAGUUUACAUGUUAGAGGGAGUAUAGUGACACAGUAACAGAGGGAUUGAGGGCCCUGCUCAGUGAGGUUACAUGUUAGAGGGAGUGGGGUAUAGUGACACAGUAACAGAGGGAUUGAGGG